ensembl:lncRNA
CUGUAUUCUGUUUGUCAGUAUCUUGUUGAGGACUUUUGCAUCUAUGUUCAUUAGGGAGAUUGGUCUGUUGUUCUCUUUUUGGGUUGGGUCUUUCCCUGGUUUUGGAAUCAAAGUAACACUUGCUUCCAGGAAUGAAUUUGGAAGCCCUGCUUCCCUUUCAAUUUCCUUGAUGAGUUUAAAUAGUAGUGGCGAUAGUUCUUCUUUAAAUGUCUUGUAGAAUUCAGCAGUGAAGCCAUCUGGACCUGGGCUUUUUUUUGUUGAGUCUUCCUAUGUAGUCCAGGCUGGCCUGGAACUUGCAAUCUUCCUGCCUCAGGCUCCUGAGUACUGGGAUUGUAGGCAUGUGCUACCAUGCCCUGCUGAAAAAUUGGCUUCUUCUUCUUUACCUACAUCUUGCCUGAUUUGCUUUGUGGUCAUAAAUGGAAAAUGUGCUGGCCAGCUGAAUUUUAAGCAAGAACAACAAUUUUCCUAUAUGAUUUGACAUGGACCUUAAAGAGUCAUUGUGCCUAGAAAAACAAAGUUGCUGUAACUUGGGUACUGGGGGAAGAAGAGGCAGAAAGUCUGGGUCUCCUCUCCAGUUAAUGGUAAUUUUGACUUUAAAAGCUAUAAGAAAAACUGAUGCCUGGAAAAGUCAGAGGGUUACUCCAGUUCAGACAGCAGCUCAAUAGCAGAAUCAAGAACAAACCUCCCCUCUCAGCCCUCUCUGGUAUGGGUCUUUGCACAGCCCCAGCCUUGAGGGUGUGGGGAUAAUUCCUACAUCUAGGACUCAGCUGGCACGUAUAGAAAGAGAUGCUGCAUGUCAAUGCCACUGUCCUCUUCACAUUCAGAAUGGGAGCUUCUCUGACACCUCAAAUCUCCAGUGUUUAUCUAUUUUAUAUCCAAUACUCACAUUGCUGGCUUGUGAACUUGUUAUCCUUGGAAGGUCACAAUUAUCUUUACAUUGUGGGAGGAACUCUGGGGAAUAAGCUUUUUAAUAUUCACAGAGCAAUUUGCAGAUACUCAGCUUAGUCAUGAAGUCUGCUUAAUGAUGUUGAUCAUAAAAGUCUGGGUAGUCUAUAAAAGUCUGGGUAGUCUAUUUCUAAGCUGUCAUCCAGGCUGACUAAAUGAUCCACUUUACCUCUGGCCUGAACUCCAAGAAUAGUUGGAGUUUGGGUCCACACCAUAUAGCUAUAGUCAGCUAGACUUUGCCUCAGCACUAUCAACAUUUGGUCAGAUUGCCAGGGAUUUAGCUCAAUGGUUUCGCCGCCUGCUGUGGAAGCACAAAGACCCCAGUUUGAUCCCUGGUACCAAAAAAAACCAAAACCAAAAAUAUUUGGUCAGAUAAUUUUUGUUAUGGGGCCUCUCCCAUGCAUGGUAGGGCUUUUAGCAGCAUCCUUAGCCUCUACAUACUAUUUGACCGUAGCACCACUCAUCUUCCAACCAGUUUUUGCAACCGAAAUAUCUCCAGUUAGCACCAAUGUCCCUUGAGGCACAAAGCUGACCCUAGUUGAGGACCACUGACAAAAUGAGCUACUUGCUCAUUAUCCUCAGAGCCAGAGAUGAAUUUUCCCACACUCAUCUUACCUCCAGGCUUCCCACUGUAAGUGGUGUCUUGUUUCUUUCAGUCUUACUGUGGACUAUUUCUUCCUUAUGUGUCUUACAAUUGCUGGUCACCUGGAUGCUUAAGCAGCUUGAUCUCAUUUCCUUCUGGCCUUGGAUGACCUCACUGUUAUCCUGCAUUAGCCCAUGAACUUUUGGACCAAUAAAAAUAAUGUACACCCCCAAAGCCCAAACUUCUGGGAAGAUGAUGGAGUGGUGAACGGCAGAGAAACAGCAUCUCCAAGAUUUGGUGUCCAGAUGCUGGAAUAUAGCAACAUGAGGAAGAGAAGAAGGAGGAAAGUAGGUUCCCAGGACCCAGCAAAGAUCUGAAGUGAGAAUUAAAACCCAUAGAGAGAGCAAAGAAACUCUUCAACAAAGAAGGAGGUGGCAAGCAGUGCUUUCUCCCUGAGCCCUGACUUACUGCAUGGGAGGGGCAGCCCAAACCUGCAGAUGUAUGGUGACUAAUGGAAACCCCAGAGGCCUUCAUGGAGAAACACACCAGUAGAACAAAGCAGUGAACACAGCAGACUGCAGUGGCUGGUGAAUUGUUUGGGUUCAGACAUUCCCUAGGAGAGGGUGAUUGGCCGGUAGCCAUUUUGAAGACAGGCCAACUGAGCUUGGAACUCAAAGCAACUGCUGGCUCCAUCUAGCAGUUCCCAGCAUCAGGGUGAAGUGGAACUGAGUUCAAGUCAGCAGGAGGUCAAACAACUGAGUUCAAAUUGGCAGGAGGCACACAGAGUGUUGCAGGCUGAACAAAUUGGGUUCCAGCCUCACAACCAGAAACCAGACCUAAAGGUUUCCUAAAGUGGACCUAAAGGUGCAUAUUUGCUGGGAUUAUUCACCACCCCAUCAUAAAUCUAGAGCUGGCUUGCUGGGAUUAAUUAACACAGAUCUGGUUUGCCAACUCUGCCUACCAGGGACAGCAGAGACACACCCUGAAGUAGACAUUUUUCUCCUUUUCUUCUUUUUUUGGUUUUGUUUCAUUUUCUUUUCUCUUGAUUGUUUGAUCUUGUUUUUAUGUGAGUGUGAACAUUGUUUUUAGUCUUCUUGUUGUUGUUCUGUUCCUAUUUUUAUUUUUUCCUUCUCUCCCUCCUGUCUUCUUCAACAGUUUCUCAAGGUUUCAGAGACCUUCCCUUGUCCUGUAGCCUUGCUUUUAAUCUCUUCCUCUUCCUUUUUUUUUGUUCUGGGAAUCGAACUUAGGAUGUUGUACUUGCCAGGCAGGUGUGGUUCUACUGAGCUAAAUCCCUGGCCCUCUUCCUUUUCUAUUUCUGUAUUUCCCCCUGUAAAUACUUUAUAAUUUCCUCCUGUGAGGGUAAAAUUGCCAUAUUGAGGGUAUAUUUUCUGUAUACAAUUUUCUGGUUUGUUUUAGAUUUUGUUAUAUAACCACAAAUAUAGUUCAUAUGGUUAAAGUUAGCAAAUCAAUUGUUAUCACUGUUUGACAUUUUCU